GGUAGAAAAAGGAUUAAACCUUUAUAUUAGAGGUUACAACUCUACACCUAUUUCGGUCAUUUUACC
rnacentral:tRNA from 1 species